UACAGGAGGGGCAAGUAUUAUUCUACGUGACUGGGCGUAAAGGAUAUGUAGGCUGUUUUUUUUAAACAUUAAAAGAAAAUCUAUUCAACUAUAUAGGCGAUUUUAAUGAAAUAUAAAACUUUGAGUUUAUAAAAGAUAAUUUAGAACCCGUCGGAGUAAAGGUGAAAUGUGCUAAAACCACGGGGAAUUCCAAAUGGCGAAGGCAUUUAUCUUGGUAAAACUGACGCUGAAAUAUGAGGGUGUGGGUAGCAAAUAGG
rnacentral:rRNA from 1 species